AUCUUUUAUUAAAUGGUGUUUUGACACCUCAGACAGCUGUAAAAAAUGUAUAUAUACUUUCUUUACGUAUUAUAUACAUUAUGUAAUGAAUUCGUUUUACAUUAUUAUAUUAUCAUGGGAGUCAUUGUUGCUAUCACGGCUUUUCUCAAGGCUAAUAUUGAUUAGGAGAUCCCGGAGCAUGACAGGAUUGCAGAAAUGGGCAAUAAUGGCUAUGGAUUAGGCUAAUAGGUUGGUAUUUGUUUAUCGUGGUAUAUGUUUUGGAUUAGGUUUUUGUUGAAGGGGUGUUGACAAUAAUUUUGAGGACUUUGGAUUGGAAAUACUGUAUUCUUUGGAUGUUGGUUAGUUUAGCGGUGCCUCACUGUCUAGUUUAGUGUCUGGAUCUAACGUUUAAGAAGAAGGAGGUCCAUUGCACGUCUACUUUGCCUUGAAUUUGUGAUUUUUACAUGAGAGCUUAAUUGUAAUUGGAAAGUUAUUAAGGCUGAGUGUCUUCUCUACCUCUUUGGGGAUGGCAGAAAAGCCGAAGAAUUGUCUGUAUGAAAGUGUCCCUUGAGGCACUUUUAAACCGGCUGGCCAGGGGAUGUGACAAAUCUAUGCAUGUAUCUUUUUGCAAAACAUCUUGAAACCAUCUUCAUCCAAGAGCCAACACCAGCCACACACAAAGCAUAAAAAAGGUGCAUGAGAAUAAUAAAAAUACUGUUACUAAACCUACUGUCUCUACACAACUUCAUCCAGGGAGAGAGAUUGGUUGCAUAUAAGCUGAUGCAAGGAUAGGAUUCUAGAAGGCAUGAUUCACAGGUAUAACUUCGCAAAGAAGAACCAUCUUAAAAUACAAAACUUUGGACAUCAUCGAAGAGAAUAAAAGAAUACGACUUUCUCGGAACGAAAGAUGCCGAAACAAUUUUCCCAUAUU